AGGAUUUUACUCCUAAUUCUAUCGCAAAUUAUUAUCAACCCAAACCAGUCAAUUCUAAAAUAUCACCCGUAGUACACCAUCCCAUAUUAAUAUCGAUUCAAACUCGUCAAUUCUAGGAUUUCACUCGUGGUAGUAUUUAAUUGUAUAAUUAUAUUUUGAUUGUCAUUCUAGGAUUUAACUCCUAGUUCUAUCGUAAAUUCUUAUCAACCCAAACAGUCAAUUAUAAAAUUUCACCCGUAGUAUAAAGUUUAAAUAUUUAUAAUGUUUAAAUUUCUUAUA
rnacentral:sRNA from 1 species